rfam:Pristionchus pacificus strain PS312 contig4026, whole genome shotgun sequence.
UCUUCAUUUCACGUGUUCUCUCACCGAUCAGAGAAGCGAGAGAGUGUGUGAAAUGAAGAGA